rnacentral:rRNA from 1 species
UACGUAGGGGGCAAGCGUUGUCCGGAAUCAUUGGGCGUAAAGAGCGUGUAGGCGGCCCGGUAAGUCCGUUGUGAAAGUCGAGGGCUCAACCCUCGAAUGCCGGCGGAUACUGUCGGGCUAGAAUCCGGAAGAGGCGAGUGGAAUUCCUGGUGUAGCGGUGAAAUGCGCAGAUAUCAGGAGGAACACCAAUGGCGAAGGCAGCACUCUGGGACGUGACUGACGCUGAGACGCGAAAGCUAGGGGAGCAAACGGG